rnacentral:lncRNA from 1 species
UUUAAUCUUUUUUUCUUUUUGAAUAGGAGGAAGUUGAUUAUCUAAAAUGAAACUCCAAGAAGAAAUUUCAAGAUUUUGAGAAGUUCGUUGAGUUAGAAUAUAGUUUAUGUAAGGUUAAUUUGGUUCUGGUAGACUUCAAAUUGAUAAUAACUUCCUAUCUUAUACAUACUGAAAACUCACAUAUAAAAUGGACGAGGAAAACAAUUCUUAGAUGUAUUUGUAUCGGUCGAAAUCUGACUGCUACGGUCAAUCUGACCGGCAUUUCGUUCAAGCGGCUAGGCAGCGAAAGAUGAUAUGAUUUAUUUCAUAUUCUGUACUCACGAUACCCGUUGAGUCAGAAGAAAAAACGUCCAGGGGACGACAAACACGGACAUAGUAUGAAAGAGCAUCAGACCAAGUACAUAGCAAAGAUUCCAUAACUAUAUAUAGUGGGGUAAAACCUUCUAUAAAGGGGGGCGCGACUUCUCUCUUCUCUCUCUCUUUUUCAUCUCCUUUGUAACUUUCAUAGUAGACGGAAGAACAAAGCAAUCUCUAAGAGAAUAUGUAAAAUGGUCUCCUCCAUUGAUUAAUGGCAGCUAGAAUGAAAAGUUUCAAUAAGAUUAGUUACCUCUAUCUCAUCUGUUGAAACACGUUCUCAAGUCGCUAAGCUAAACGUGUGUUCAUAUUUGUAGGUUUUGAU